rnacentral:rRNA from 1 species
CGGACGGGUGAGUAACGCGUGGGUAACCUGCCUCAUACAGGGGGAUAACAGUUAGAAAUGGCUGCUAAUACCGCAUAAGACCACAGCACCGCAUGGUGCAGGGGUAAAAACUCCGGUGGUAUGAGAUGGACCCGCGUCUGAUUAGCUAGUUGGUGGGGUAACGGCCUACCAAGGCGACGAUCAGUAGCCGACCUGAGAGGGUGACCGGCCACAUUGGGACUGAGACACGGCCCAAACUCCUACGGGAGGCAGCAGUGGGGAAUAUUGCACAAUGGGGGAAACCCUGAUGCAGCGACGCCGCGUGAGCGAAGAAGUAUUUCGGUAUGUAAAGCUCUAUCAGCAGGGAAGAAAAUGACGGUACCUGACUAAGAAGCCCCGGCUAACUACGUGCCAGCAGCCGCGGUAAUACGUAGGGGGCAAGCGUUAUCCGGAUUUACUGGGUGUAAAGGGAGCGUAGACGGCGAGGCAAGUCUGAUGUGAAAACCCGGGGCUCAACCCCGUGACUGCAUUGGAAACUGUUUUGCUUGAGUGCCGGAGAGGUAAGCGGAAUUCCUAGUGUAGCGGUGAAAUGCGUAGAUAUCAGGAGGAACACCAGUGGCGAAGGCGGCUUACUGGACGGCAACUGACGUUGAGGCUCGAAAGC